GACGAACGCUGGCGGCGUGCUUAACACAUGCAAGUCGAACGAUGGUGCCCAGCUUGCUGGGUGGAUUAGUGGCGAACGGGUGAGUAACACGUGAGUAACCUGCCCCUGACUCUGGGAUAAGCGUUGGAAACGACGUCUAAUACUGGAUAUGACUGCCGGCCGCAUGGUCUGGUGGUGGAAAGAUUUUUUGGUUGGGGAUGGACUCGCGGCCUAUCAGCUUGUUGGUGAGGUAAUGGCUCACCAAGGCGACGACGGGUAGCCGGCCUGAGAGGGUGACCGGCCACACUGGGACUGGGACACGGCCCAGACUCCUACGGGAGGCAGCAGUGGGGAAUAUUGCACAAUGGGCGAAAGCCUGAUGCAGCAACGCCGCGUGAGGGAUGACGGCCUUCGGGUUGUAAACCUCUUUUAGUAGGGAAGAAGCGAAAGUGACGGUACCUGCAGAAAAAGCACCGGCUAACUACGUGCCAGCAGCCGCGGUAA
rnacentral:rRNA from 1 species